ensembl:snRNA U6 U6 spliceosomal RNA
GUGCUUGCUUCAGCACAUACACUAAAAUUAAAACUAUACCGAGAAGAGUAACAUGGCUCCUGCAGGAGGGUAACAUGAAAAUUCAUGAAGCAUUCCAUAUUUUU